UGGCGACCGGCGCACGGGUGAGUAACACGUAUCCAACCUGCCGAUGACUCGGGGAUAGCCUUUCGAAAGAAAGAUUAAUACCCGAUGGCAUAGUUCUUCCGCAUGGUAGAACUAUUAAAGAAUUUCGGUCAUCGAUGGGGAUGCGUUCCAUUAGGUUGUUGGCGGGGUAACGGCCCACCAAGCCUUCGAUGGAUAGGGGUUCUGAGAGGAAGGUCCCCCACAUUGGAACUGAGACACGGUCCAG
rnacentral:rRNA from 1 species